AUGGACUCAUGACCCAUUAGCUAGUUGGUGAGAUAACAGCCCACCAAGGCGACGAUGGGUAGCCGGCUUGAGAGAGUGACCGGCCACAUUGGAACUGAGACACGGUCCAGACUCCUACGGGAGGCAGCAGUGGGGAAUAUUGCACAAUGGAGGAAACUCUGAUGCAGCGACGUCGCGUGAGCGAAGAAGGUUUUCGAAUCGUAAAGCUCUGUCCUAUGGGAAGAAGAAAGACGGUACCAUAGAAGAAAGCCCCGGCUAACUACGUGCCAGCAGCCGCGGUAAUACGUAGGGGGCGAACGUUAUCCGGAAUGAUUGGGCGUAAAGGGUACGUAGGCGGACCUGUAAGUCAGGUGUGAAAGGCAUGGGCUCAACCCAUGUAAGCACUUGAAACUGCGGGCCUUGAGGGAAGGAGAGGUAAGUGGAAUUCCUAGUGUAGCGGUGAAAUGCGUAGAUAUUAGGAGGAAUACCGGUGGCGAAGGCGACUUACUGGACUUUUACUGACGCUGAGGUACGAAAGCGUGGGGAGCAAACAGGAUUAGAUACCCUGGUAGUCCACGCCGUAAAUGGUGAGUGCUAGGUGUCGGGAGUCAAAUCUCGGUGCCGACGUUAACACAUUAAGCACUCCGCCUGGGGAGUACG
rnacentral:rRNA from 2 species